UUAGAUGUAACCGCCGAUUGCCACACCACCAGCAAUCCGCCAGAGGACUACAAGUGAAAACUUAAAACUCUAAGGACUUGACGGUGUCCCACCCAUACUAGAGGAGCCUGUCCUAUAAUCGACACCCCACGUUACACCUUACCCCCCCUAGCCAUCCAACCUAUAUACCGCCGUCGCCAGCUCACACGGUGACUGCACCACCGUAAGCAAAAUCAUCAAACAUUAAAACGACAGGUCAAGGUGUAGUUAAUGGGGGGGACAGUGAUGGGCUACAUUUUCUUCAUAAGAAAAUACCACCCGCAACAUGAAACCUUGCCCAAAGGCGGAUUUAGAAGUAAGCUUCGGCAAGACAUGCCAACCUGAAAAAGCCCUGGGACGC
rnacentral:rRNA from 1 species